GUGCUCGCUUCGGCAGCACAUGUACUAACAUUGGGAUGACACAGAGAAGGUUAGCAUGGUCCCUGUGCAAGGGUGACACGCUAGUCGGUGAAGCGUUCCAUAAUUAA